AUACGUAGGUGGCAAGCGUUGUCCGGAAUUACUGGGCGUAAAGGGCGUGUAGGUGGACUGAUCAGUCGGGUGUGAAAUAUCCGGGCUUAACCCGGAGGGUGCAUCCGAUACGGUCAGUCUUGAGUGCAGGAGAGGGCAGUGGAAUUCCUAGUGUAGCGGUGAAAUGUGUAGAUAUUAGGAGGAACACCAGUAGCGAAGGCGGCUUUCUGGACUGUAACUGACACUGAGGCACGAAAGCGUGGGGAGC
rnacentral:rRNA from 1 species